AUGAACUUCCAUGUGUGCUUCAAAUCUAUUUGGAGGAACUUUAUUAGGUAGAAUGAGGUAGCGAAGUCCAUUUUUGAGCUGCCCUCGGUACAAUUUCGGGUGAGAUGGAAAUUCAGAACUCAAAAAUUGUUCAAACUCUGCUCUCUCUACUUCAGGAUCAAGCAUAUCAAAUCCUUGUUUCUCCAAGACGCCUUCUGUCCAUGUUGUACUUGCUGCAUGAGGUUCAUCUGGGCCAACAGUCGCCCGUGGGACAGAGAUGUUGGCACGAAGCUGCUUUGACAGAUGAAAGCUAGACUUGUCAAGAAAGACCCCAUUUUUUGGUCGUUUGGGAAGAGUUUGUCUGGUUCGAGGAUAGAGAAAGCACGAAACAGGUUGCCUCCGAUAUAAUAUAUUGGCUCUGUUUAAUUGUUCCACAUUCUGAUGAAGACAUCUUCCCUGAACAUUCUUAUGCUGGAUGAAAUAAGCUCGAUUCUGAGGAUGCCUCCGAGGACGCAACUUAACACUCUUCUUCCGGUGAACCCAAUUGGAUUGAGAUGCUACCAAGGAAGACGACGGUUCGCUGUAUCGACUCUUGACAUGAAUUGGAGCUAGAACCGGCUUGGUAUUGAAUACAACAGAUGUUGCUUGCAUAUUUUCUUCCCAAUUCUUGAGAAAUUAGGGUUUAUGGGAAAGAGAAGAGCGAUGAAAAAUGUAAGUCGCUGUGGAGAGUUACUCGAACUGUGCGAAAAGAGGGGUUGUUAAAG
rnacentral:misc_RNA from 1 species